AUUGAACGCUGGCGGCAGGCCUAACACAUGCAAGUCGAACGAGUGGCGGACGGGUGAGUAAUGUCUGGGAAACUGCCUGAUGGAGGGGGAUAACUACUGGCAACGGUAGCUAAUACCGCAUACCAUCAGAUGUGCCCAGAUGGGAUUAGCUAGUAGGUGGGGUAAAGGCUCACCUAGGCGACGAUCCCUAGCUGGUCUGAGAGGAUGACCGGCCACACUGGAACUGGGACACGGUCAAGACUCCUACGGGAGGCAGCGGUGGGGAAUAUUGCACAAUGGGCGCAAGCCUGAUGCAGCCAUGCCGCGUGGAUGAAGAAGGCCUUCGGGUGGUAAAGUACUUUCAGCAGGGAGGCGUUACCCGAAGAAGAAGCACCGGCUAACUCCGUGCCAGCAGCCGCGGUAAUUC
rnacentral:rRNA from 1 species